GACAGAGGUGCCGAGCGUUAGGCGGAAUCACUGGGCUUAAAGCGUGUGUAGGCGGAUUCCUAAGUACCUUGUGAAAUCCCACGGCUUAACCGUGGAACGGCUUGGUAUACUGGGUGUCUUGAGCCAACUAGGGGGCGACCGGAACAAACGGUGGAGCGGUGAAAUGCGUAGAUAUCGUUUGGAACGCCAAUGGUGAAAACAGGUCGCUGGGGUUGUGCUGACGCUGAGACACGAAAGCCAGGGGAGCGAACGGG
rnacentral:rRNA from 1 species